AGAGUUUGAUCCUGGCUCAGGAUAAACGCUGGCGGCAUGCCUAAUACAUGCAAGUCGAACGGACGCAGCAAUGCGUCAGUGGCGAACGGGUGAGUAACACGUAAGUAACCGACCCCCAAGCCGAGGAUAACGGUUGGAAACGACCGCUAAAACUGGAUAGGACGGGAGACCAGAAGGACUCUCGUUUAAAGGUCCUGCAAGGGACUGUUUGGGGACGGGCUUGCGGCGCAUUAGCUAGUUGGUGAGACAACAGCCCACCAAGGCGACGAUGCGUAGCUGCGCUGAGAGGCGGAACAGCCACACUGGGACUGAGACACGGCCCAGACUCCUACGGGAGGCAGCAGUAGGGAAUUUUCGGCAAUGGGGGGAACCCUGACCGAGCAAUGCCGCGUGAAUGAAGAAGGUCUUCGGAUUGUAAAAUUCUGUUAUCGGGAAAGAACACCACGAUCAGGAAAUGGGUCG
rnacentral:rRNA from 1 species